rnacentral:rRNA from 1 species
UGGGGAAUUUUGGACAAUGGGCGCAAGCCUGAUCCAGCAAUGCCGCGUGCAGGAUGAAGGCCUUCGGGUUGUAAACUGCUUUUGUACGGAGCGAAAAGGUCUGCCCUAAUACGGUGGGCUCAUGACGGUACCGUAAGAAUAAGCACCGGCUAACUACGUGCCAGCAGCCGCGGUAAUACGUAGGGUGCGAGCGUUAAUCGGAAUUACUGGGCGUAAAGCGUGCGCAGGCGGUUAUAUAAGACAGAGGUGAAAUCCCCGGGCUCAACCUGGGAACUGCCUUUGUGGCUGUAUAGCUAGAGUACGGUAGAGGGGGAUGGAAUUCCGCGUGUAGCAGUGAAAUGCGUAGAUAUGCGGAGGAACACCGAUGGCGAAGGCAAUCCCCUGGACCUGUACUGACGCUCAUGCACGAAAGCGUGGGGAGCAAACA